CAAUGCGGGUAAAACCGUUACCUUGGUGAUUCAUGAUAACUUGUCGAAUCGCAUGGCCUUGCGCCGGCGAUGUUUCGUUCAAAUUUCUGCCCUAUCAACUGUCGAUGGUAAGGUAGUGGCUUACCAUGGUUGUAACGGGUGACGGAGAAUUAGGGUUCGAUUCCGGAGAGGGAGCCUGAGAAAUGGCUACCACAUCUAAGGAAGGCAGCAGGCACGAAAAUUACCCAAUCCCGACUCGGGGAGGUAGUGACAAGAAAUAACAAUACGGGGCCUUUAUAGGUCUCGCAAUUGGAAUGAGUACAAUUUAAAUCCUUUAACGAGGAUCAAUUGGAGGGCAAGUCUGGUGCCAGCAGCCGCGGUAAUUCCAGCUCCAAUAGCGUAUAUUAAAGUUGUUGCAGUUAAAAAGCUCGUAGUUGGAUUUCGGAAUGGGCCAGUUGGUCCGCCCUCGUGGUGUGCUACUGGCUGGUCUGUUCUUCUUCGCAAAGACUGCGUGUGCUCUUCAGUGAGUGUGCGUAGGAUUUGUGACGUUUACUUUGAAAAAAUUAGAGUGUUCAAAGCAGGCUUUGUGCUUGAAUACAUGAGCAUGGAAUAAUGGAAUAUGACUUUGGUCUUAUUUUGUUGGUUUCUAAGACCGAAGUAAUGAUUGAGAGGGACAGUUGGGGGCAUUCGUAUUUCGUUGUCAGAGGUGAAAUUCUUGGAUUUACGAAAGACGAACAACUGCGAAAGCAUUUGCCAAGAAUGUUUUCAUUAAUCAAGAACGAAAGUUAGAGGAUCAAAGACGAUUAGAUACCGUC
rnacentral:rRNA from 1 species